CAUAAACAACCAGGAUGUUGGCUCAGAAGCAGCCACUCAUUCAAAGAGUGCGUAACAGCUCACUGGUCGAGUGAAUUUGCGCGGAAAAUUACCGGGGCUAAACUAUACACCGAAAUUUCGGAUUUAGGAACAAUGUUCCUAAGUGGUAGAGGAGCAUUCUGUAGUAGGAAGAAGUCAAAGCGAGAGCAUUGGUGGACGAAGCAGAAGAGAGAAUGCUGGAAUAAGUAGCGAGAGCAAGGUGAGAAUCCUUGCCGUCGAAAGUCUAAGGUUUCCUGGGGAAGGUUCGUCCGCCCAGGGUAAGUCGGGGCCUAAGGAGAGGCCGAAAGGCGUAUCUGAUGGAUAGCAGGUGGAGAUUCCUGCACUAUAGCUAGUUUUAAAAGAUGCAAGGGACGCAGUAGAGGAAGAUAACCAAGGAAGAGGAAAAACUUGGUCCGCAAGGGAUAGUGAAAAUUAAUAGUAACGAAAUAUCAAGAAUCACACUGACGAGAAAAGCUUGUAGAUAUUAACUAGAAAUACCCGUACCGCAAACCGACACAGGUAGAUGAGGAGAGGAUCCUAAGACGAGCGGGAGAAGCAUUGUUAAGGAACUCGGCAAAUUGACCCCGUAACUUAGGGAGAAGGGGUGCCAAAGUAAAAUUUGGUCGCAGAGAAGAGGCCCAAGCAACUGUUUAACAAAAACACAGGUUUCUGCUAAAUCGAAAGAUGAAGUAUAGGAGCUGACGCCUGCCCAGUGCUGGAAGGUUAAGGGGAAGAGUUAGAUGUAAGUCGAAGCUUAGAACCAAAGCCCCAGUGAACGGCGGCCGUAACUAUAACGGUCCUAAGGUAGCGAAAUUCCUUGUCAGGUAAGUUCUGACCCGCACGAAAGGCGUAAUGAUUUGGGCGCUGUCUCGACAAUGUACUCGGCGAAAUUGUAGUACUAGUGAAGAUGCUAGUUACCUGCGACAAGACAGAAAGACCCCAUGGAGCUUUACUGCAGCUUGAUACUGGGUUUUGGUAAUUUAUGUACAGGAUAGGUGGGAUACGAAGAAGCAAGUGCGCCAGCAUUUGUGGAGUAGACGUUGGGAUACCACUCUUAAAUUAUUGAAAUUCUAACCUGUGAUCAUGAACUGGUCAGGGGACAAUGUCAGGCGGGCAGUUUGACUGGGGCGGUCGCCUCCUAAAGAGUAACGGAGGCGCCCAAAGG
rnacentral:rRNA from 1 species